GAGCUUUUGAUGUGGAGAAAUGUCUCAUAUGCUAAAAGACAAAAUGAUAACAGCUAUUUUUAGGUGUUUUUUCCUGUCGGUGAGAGCUGACUGAGAGACGUUUUUACCUCUCACUGCCGUAAACUCUGAGUGGACAUCUUCCCCGGGCCUGUCCGCCUCUCUCCUCCGAUGGUACCAGCACUGUGGACGGUAUUGUUUGGCCUCCAUCUCCAUCUCCAUCUCUUUAAUGGCAUAAAGCAGGAUGUUUCCACUGGAGGAGACAGUGACCUGAUAAAGAAGCCACUGUGCUGCGGAGUGAAGGCACGCCGGAUCUGGACAUUUUCUAUUUAUGGCGUUACUGGAGGCUAUUACCAUCAAGACAAGGAAAUGGCGAAAAUACGCACUAUAAAACAAAAUGAUCAUGCAUGCUUUGAACGUGUCAUUCCUUCAAAGAGUCAUAUGUAAUAGACAUGAUAUAAAGAUGAUGAUAGAAAUGUUGGUUGAUGCUAUUGUUGUGCGUAAAUGGCGUCCAGGCCUGGCGUAGUCACUGAUGUUUUUUCCAGUAUGUGUGUGUUUCUUCUUUCAUUCCCUUAAAGCUUCAACUUUCCUCCAUCAGACAGCAGGAUCCCGCUCCUCGUGUUCACGGCGGACCUUGAUUUAUUAGCCAUACAAUUAAGGCACGCGGUGAAUGCCAAGAGAGGAAUCACACACACACACGUUUAUGAGGAUGGAGAGAGAGAGAGAGACAUCAGCAAGAAGAGAAGGAGGAGGACACCUCAUUGUUUUCCUUUCAAAGUUUGUGAUAAUUUGAUAAGUAUGUGAACAACUGUAAACAAUAUACAAACUCCAAAAAAGAGCAAUAAAAAUAGUAAAUUAAAGUACCUACAGAGAACCAUCAAACCCACUCUUCAUCAAACUUCUUUUUUAUUGUGGUCCUAAAUCUACAUCAAUGAUUUCUUUGGAUGAUCCAAUGACUAUUCUAUAAUUCUACUAUUCUAUCAUUAUUCUAACAAAGUAAUAAAAAUAACAAAAACAGCCUGUGAUACAAACAGGCAGGCAACAGCAGCACAACUAGCAUUGGUUUCUAGCAUAAAUUCCCAGCCAAAUUGAAGAUAAUUUCCGAAUCAAGGAAAAAAACGUUGUAAAACUGAAAAAAGAAUUAAUGUUAACUUUACUUUUCGGAUUGAAACAACGUUUGUUGGAUUAUGAAGAAGUGCGAAGAAUCUCUAUGGAAGAUGUCCCACUGAUAAUCUGAAAUCGCUAACCCCAAGAGUGGCAUCAAUGUGAAUUCCUCCUAUUUUAAAUGGAUUUUAUUUCAUUUAAGUUUUAUAUACUUUUCGCAUUGCCUGUCUGGUACAGUGUAACUAAGAGCUAUGACAGGAAAACUGUGACAGAGCUUGCUCAAAGCUAUGAAGAUAAAUACAUGAUGGUUAUUUAAAAAAGCUAUUUCUGGAUUAAAAGAUUAUCAAUUUAUUUCUGAAAAAUUGUGUUUUUAAAUUUUAUUUGUGAACAAUUCUUUUAUCAAAAUAAGAAAAAUUAAUGCAUUUCACUCGUCCUUUGAGUUUGGCAAGAAAUGUGAUUGAUAUAUCGGUAAAAACAAAUGCUAAGGCUAAUAGUAAUUUAACAGAAAUAUGGCAAUUGUUAGCCGUUUUUAAACAACAAUACAUCCUUUAUUUUGAAAAGUUUUCCAAAAUGAACGUGAAAAAGACAGCCUUUGUGCCGGGUAUUUUCCUCUGUUUUGUUUCUAUCUAAUGUUUACUUCCCCUUCACCGGAUAUCCGCUUGUUCACGUGACUCAGAGCCACGCCCCCGCUGUUAAUUACGCGCAGGUGUGCAGCAGGUGAAAACGCAAACAGAAAUCGUGUCAACAUUUAUAUCAAAAUACUAAAAAGCAGAGAAAAUGAGAGCGAUGUAAAAGGAGGACAACAUAUUCCGAAUCACGGCGCAUCGUAACUUUUGAGGUGAGUAAAAGAGAAGUGAGCAGAAACACGAAAACUCUAAUUGGAUAAUGUUAAUGCUAACGCUUAUGCUAACAGGCUUGUCGCUAACCGUUCCGUCCCCAAAAACCCGAUUUGUACUGCGCAUGUGCGAAAGUAAACGGUCAAUCUUUCCCAUCUUUUACUAAUCUCUUUUAAUAUUUUGGAGCUGUAAACCAACUACAGUGAAAUUUCUGUGGCUGAAGUCUUAUUAAACUUUAUGUUAACUCAAUGGAAAACACCUCAUAAGUUUAGUCUGUGGAAAAAAAAGCUUUAUGAAUAAAUUUUUGUUUACAAAUAUAUAUACACAGUUUGUUCCACCCACAAUAUUUCAUAGAUAUUCAUUAUUACUGAACUAAAAAACAGGUAAGAGUGUGCAGGAAUAUAUAGCUUUAAUACAACAAAAAUAAAGAAGAGAACUGUGUGUCUGUUAAAGUUGUUAAAAGUUGUAUUUUUCUCUCUUGCAGAUCUGUGGACAUGAUGGACGCCACGCUGGAAGAAGAGGGACAGAGCGGUCAUCUUCCCUGAGCUGAAGCUCUAAGGUAAGAGGGUUUUCUUUGUAUCACAACUGUAGUUUCAUGUUGCAACGCUGAGAUUUAACAGCUGAGAGUUUAGCUGGUUUUUAGGUUUGGUUCUAGUUUGACUGUAGAGAAAAUUAUCUGACACUGUUACUCACAAAAACCUCUCUGCAGCCUCAAUAGUAUCACACUGAAGGUUUCAACAUGAUCUAAAGGAGCCAAGACUCCGGGUUUAUGUUUAUUAAUGUUAAAUAAAUUCUCUUUAGCUCCACCAGGCUGAAGAAAAGGCUGUUUGAUUGGAAUAUUUGGAAACCACAUAAAUAUCAACAAAAUUAAACAAUUAGUCUUCAAGUUAAAAAGCAGUAACAUUAUGCUAACAACAAUAAGAAAUUUUCAUCUUUAAUUCUAGCUGUAAACUCCGGUGGUUUCUAAAAAGAAAACCAAAUAAAACUCAAUCAAAUAUAAUUGUUCACUAGAGGGCGCUGUUUCUAAACAAAACUGCCCUGCUAUAAAUAAUGCCUGUAUUAUUCCACUUAAUUUAUAAUAAAAAUCACAUACCAACACAUGCUAUAAGUCUUUAUCAAUAUAUAAAUGGAUAAUUCAAUAAAUUAGUACACCUUUGUAUCUGACAGAAACAUACUUGUAGUAUAAAAAUGUGACAUGUUAUUCUUGAAGCAGUUAGUGGACUUUAUGUACUGUCGGCCUACAGUUUUGUAAGAACGAUUGAAAAAGGAGUGAAUCCAAAUAGAUUAUUUUUCAUCUUCAUAAUUUUAUAAUCCACUCACAAAGAACUCUACAAAGAAAUAUAAGCUUUAAGUCCAAGUCCAGAGUAGUGUUGUAUCAGUAGAUUGUGACUUAAAAGUCCUGGUUUAAUCAUUCAUAGAUAUUCAUAGACUUAUAUCAGCUUCUCUGGCAGUCAUGUAAAUGUAAGUGCAGAUGGAUCUUAAGAACAAAUUCAGGAAAACUUUUCAUUUAUUUUUACUGUUUCAAAAGACAUUGCGGUAAAAAAAACCUUCUUGAUCAGUGAAGUAGCCUGAGAGCUUCUCUCAGCUCUCACCACAGUCCAGUUUUGACAUCCUCAGCUCAGAUUUUUGUCUUUUGUUGGGUUUAAUGUGACAAACUAAUUGUCUCCCUUCUUUUCUUUCAGGACUCAUCGCCAGCAGAUCCUGGAGUUUGGGGGGGCCUCCUCCUCCUCCCCUCAACCCUCUUCCUCCUGUGUCUCCCUAAUGAUGUUUUAGUUUUAUUCCUGGUUCAAGUGGUAGUUCAGUUUAGAGUCUGAAUUUAUUAUUUCACCUUUUCACAGAGUGUUAGAGACUUAAGUGACGAUUAAAGUGAAGAUUUGAGACACUUCAAUUAUUUACUUAAAAGCUUUUAGGUAUCAUUAGUCUGCAGUUAAUAUAAAACAGUUCAGAUUGAAUCAUUUUCUAGUUGAAGUUAUCCAUAGUCUUUAAAUCUUUGCUUUUGAAUCAAGAUGUUGGUGCAUUUAUGUGAUGUCUGGCAUUUCCAGGGAGGGUCUGAUGAAAAUAAAGAGACACAGAAUCACA
rnacentral:lncRNA from 1 species